GCCCGGGUGACGGAAUUGGCAGACGUGCAUGGUUGAGGGCCAUGUGGGAGUUUUUCCUGUGCGGGUUCAAAUCCCGCCCCGGGCA
rnacentral:tRNA from 1 species